AACAGGUAAUAUAGGAAGGUUCGUAUAUUCUUGAGGAUAUGGCUCAAGAGUCUCUACGAGGUCGCCAUUAAACGACCUGGCUACGAACAAAAUGUCGACGGGA
rnacentral:ncRNA from 2 species